rnacentral:rRNA from 1 species
GACGAACGCUGGCGGCGUGCUUAACACAUGCAAGUCGAACGGAAAGGCCCUGCUUUUGUGGGGUGCUCGAGUGGCGAACGGGUGAGUAACACGUGAGUAACCUGCCCUUGACUUUGGGUUAACUUCAGGAAACUGGGGCUAAUACCGGAUAGGAGCUCCUGCUGCAUGGUGGGGGUUGGAAAGUUUCGGCGGUUGGGGAUGGACUCGCGGCUUAUCAGCUUGUUGGUGGGGUAGUGGCUUACCAAGGCUUUGACGGGUAGCCGGCCUGAGAGGGUGACCGGCUACAUUGGGACUGAGAUACGGCCCAGACUCCUACGGGAGGCAGCAGUGGGGAAUAUUGCACAAUGGGCGGAAGCCUGAUGCAGCAACGCCGCGUGCGGGAUGACGGCCUUCGGGUUGUAAACCGCUUUCGCCUGUGACGAAGCGUGAGUGACGGUAAUGGGUAAAGAAGCACCGGCUAACUACGUG